UACGUAGGGGGCAAGCGUUGUCCGGAAUCAUUGGGCGUAAAGAGCGUGUAGGCGGCUCGGUAAGUCCGCUGUGAAAGUUCAGGGCUCAACCCUGGAAUGCCGGUGGAAACUGUCGAGCUAGAGUCCGGAAGAGGCGAGUGGAAUUCCUGGUGUAGCGGUGAAAUGCGCAGAUAUCAGGAGGAACACCAAUGGCGAAGGCAGCUCGCUGGGACGGUACUGACGCUGAGACGCGAAAGCGUGGGGAGCAAACAGG
rnacentral:rRNA from 1 species